rnacentral:rRNA from 1 species
UAAGGAAUAUUCCACAAUGGGCGAAAGCCUGAUGGAGCGACGCCGCGUGAGGGAAGAAGGCCUUUGGGUUGUAAACCUCUUUUGUGGGGGAUGAUAAUGACAGUACCCCACGAAUAAGCCUCGGCUAACUACGUGCCAGCAGCCGCGGUAAUACGUAGGAGGCGAGCGUUGUCCGGAUUUACUGGGCGUAAAGCGCGCGCAGGCGGCACACUAAGUACGUUGUGAAAUCUCCCUGCCUAACGGGGAGGGUGCAAUGUAAACUGGUGAGCUAGAGGACGGUAGAGGGGGGUAGAAUUGCUGGUGUAGCGGUGAAAUGCGUAGAGAUCAGCAGGAAUACCCGUGGCGAAGGCGGCCCCCUGGGCCGUAUCUGACGCUGAGGCGCGAAGGCUAGGGGAGCGAACGG